GAUGAACGCUGGCGGCGUGCCUAAUACAUGCAAGUCGAGCGAACAGACGAGGAUCUUGUUCCUCUGACGUUAGGGGCGGACGGGUGUGUAACACGUGUAUAAUCUACCUAUAAGACUGGGAUAACUUCGGGAAACCGGAGCUAAUACCGUAUAGUAUAUUGAACCGUAUGGUUCAAUAGUGAAAGACGGCUUUGCUGUCACUUAUAGAUGGUUCCGCGCUGCAUUAGCUGGUUGGUAAGGUAACGGCCUAUCAAGGCUACGAUGCGUAGCCGACCUGAGAGAGUGAUCGGCCACACUGGAGCGGAGACGCGGACCAGAGUCCUACGAGAGGCAGCAGUAGGGAACCUUCCGCAGUAGGCGAGAGCCUGGCGGAACAACGCCGAGUCAGAGGUGGAGAUCUUCGGAUCGUAAAGCUCGGUUAUUAGGGAAAAACCGAUGUCUAAGUAACUAUACACUUAGUGACGGUACCUAAUCAGGAAGCCACGGCUAACUACGUG
rnacentral:rRNA from 1 species